rnacentral:rRNA from 1 species
GGUAAUUUAGUCUUAUAUUCAUGAUCAAUGGAUCACACAACUACUCAUCAGUAUUUAAUAUAUAAGAAGAGUUUAUCUUAUCUCCCCGUCACCCCAACCAAACAAUUUUAAAUUAAACCUCAACUCUCCGUAAAUCUAUUUAUUACCUAUUAUUGUCAAACUCUAUAGGGUCUUCUCGUCCUCCAAUCCUAUUUUAGCCUUCUAACUAAAAAGUUAAGUUUUAACCCAAUCCUUAUGAGACAGUCAACACCUCGGUCCAACCAUUCAUGCCAGCCUCUAAUUAAGAGACUAAUGAUUAUGCUACCUUUGCACGGUCAAAAUACCGCGGCCCUUCAAUUUUUCAGUGGGCAGGCUAGACCUCUUAUACUUUCAAGAAGCG